rnacentral:tRNA from 1 species
AUUUCGGUAGCUUAAUUAGAGCGUUACAUUGAAGCUGUGAAAGUAGUAUUAACUCCGUAAUA